rnacentral:ncRNA from 1 species
GUACGAGAGGACCGGGACGGACUGACCUCUGGUGUGCCAGUUGUUCUGCCAAGAGCAUGGCUGGUUGGCUACGUCGGGUUGUGAUAACACGCUGAAAGCAUCUAAGCGGGAAGCACGCUUCAAGAUGAGGGUUCCUGCAGAUGAAUCUGGUAAGGUCUCCGGUAGACGACCGGGUUGAUAGGCCAGGCGUGGACGCAUCGUAAGGUGUGGAGCUGACUGGUACUAAUAGGCCGAGGACUUACACAA